rnacentral:rRNA from 1 species
AUUGAACGCUGGCGGCCGGCCUAACACAUGCAAGUCGCACGAGUGGCGGACGGGUGAGUAAUGUCUGGGAAACUGCCUGAUGGAGGGGGAUAACUACUGGAAACGGUAGCUAAUAACGCAUACCAUCAGAUGGGCACAGAUGGGAUUCGCUUGUUGGUGGGGUAACGGCUUACCAAGGCGACGAUCCCUAGCUGGUCUGAGAGGAUGACGAUGCACACUGGAACUGAGUCACGGUCCAGACUCCGAGGGGAGGCAGCAGUGGGGAAUAUUGCACAAUGGGCGCAAGCCUGAUGCAGCCAUGCCGCGUGUAUGAAGAAGGCCGUCGGGUUGUAAAGUACUUUCAGCGGGGAGGCGUUACCCGCAGAAGAAGCACCGGCUAACUCCGUGCCAGCAGCCGCGGUAAUUC